AUAUAUGUAAGUGUUCUUAUUAUUGUAAAAUUUAAUAAGGAUAAAGUGAGUGAAAGUGAAUUUGUGAUAAUUGUGGCUAAAAUCUAAAACAACGCAAUCAGAUGUCAGUUGGAAGUUGGCAGUUGGCAGUUGGCUGUUUGAGUUGAGUUCGACGGCUACAUUUGUCAGUUUGGGCGAUCAAAGAAGCCGCGACUGAGACUGAUAACGGAUGUUGUGGAUAUGCAUGGAUGUGGAUAUAUCGCUGCGCUGAUACGUUGUGAAUGUAUGUGGGAAUAUUUUAAACGUAUUCUAUACCAAAAUUAUUCAAUUGAGAAGUAUCUUUGAAGUCCUUGUUAUGCUGCUGUAAAGUGUCUACUAUGCAUCAUCGCUUUGGCUCACAUCGUGAAAAACUAAUUGCAGCUACUGUAUACCAUUUAUGUAAUGUUUGUUUUUAAUGUCCUAAAAUGUAUACU